AGCUUUGGUGUUUUGAAGAUGGACUGGCACAGGCUCGCUCCUCGGACUUCCCCAACUUCCUGGCUUUUGUGUCUUUGGCUUCACAUUCUUCUGGGUAUGCAAAAAAGUCAAGAUUUAAUGCACUGUUUUUAAUGAUUUUUUUUAUAUAUAUAUAUCAGAAAGAAAAUUAAUACCCAGAUAUAGAAUUGCAUACCUGAUGAUUCAAAUUGAAAUUUUGGUCUUCAGAUGCUUGAAGAUAUUUAACCAAAGCUUGAUGCUGCUCUCCUGCAAAUAUAAUGAACCAGUAUUCAUAUUCUGGAUAGAUAUCACAUGCCACAUCUUACAAGCUUAAAAAAUUUCAAGUAAUCUCACAUGGAUAAACAGUGAAUGCAGCAAUUAAUAUUGCAAGUAAAACUGGAUUAGAUUCCCUGAAGCUUCAAAAUUGUACAGUUACAGUAGAAUAUCUACACAUGAUCUGUUGGGUACAU
rnacentral:lncRNA from 1 species